GGCGAGAUAGCUCAGUCGGUAGAGCAGGGGACUGAAAAUCCCCGUGUCCCUGGUUCGAUUCCUGGUCUCGCCACCA
rnacentral:tRNA from 1 species